rnacentral:rRNA from 1 species
AUCUAUACUGUGAAACUGCGAAUGGCUCAUUAAAUCAGUUAUCGUUUAUUUGAUAGUACCUCACUACUUGGAUAACCGUGGUAAUUCUAGAGCUAAUACAUGCUAAAAACCCCGACUUCGGAAGGGGUGUAUUUAUUAGACAAAAAACCAAUGCCCUUCGGGGCUCCUUGGUGAAUCAUGAUAACUUAACGAAUCGCAUGGCCUUGCGCCGGCGAUGGUUCAUUCAAAUUUCUGCCCUAUCAACUUUCGAUGGUAGGAUAGUGGCCUACCAUGGUAUCAACGGGUAACGGGGAAUUAGGGUUCUAUUCCGGAGAGGGAGCCUGAGAAACGGCUACCACAUCCAAGGAAGGCAGCAGGCGCGCAAAUUACCCAAUCCCGACACGGGGAGGUAGUGACAAUAAAUACUGAUACAGGGCUCUUUUGGGUCUUGUAAUUGGAAUGAGUACAAUUUAAAUACCUUAACGAGGAACAAUUGGAGGGCAAGUCUGGUGCCAGCAGCCGCGGUAAUUCCAGCUCCAAUAGCGUAUAUUAAAGUUGUUGCAGUUAAAAAGCUCGUAGUUGAACCUUGGGCCUGGCUGGCCGGUCUGCCUCACCGCAUGUACUGGUUCGGCCGGGCCUUUCCUCCUGGGGAUCCGCAUGCCCUUCACUGGGUGUGUUGGGGAACCAGGACUUUUACUUUGAAAAAAUUAGAGUGUUCAAAGCAGGCCUUUGCUCGAAUACAUUAGCAUGGAAUAAUAGAAUAGGACGUGCGGUCCUAUUUUGUUGGUUUCUAGGACCGCCGUAAUGAUUAAUAGGGAUAGUCGGGGGCAUCAGUAUUCAGUUGUCAGAGGUGAAAUUCUUGGAUUUACUGAAGACUAACUACUGCGAAAGCAUUUGCCAAGGAUGUUUUCAUUAAUCAGUGAACGAAAGUUAGGGGAUCGAAGACGAUCAGAUACCGUCGUAGUCUUAACCGUAAACUAUGCCGACUAGGGAUCGGGCGAUGUUAUUCUUUUGACUCGCUCGGCACCUUACGAGAAAUCAAAGUCU